rnacentral:rRNA from 1 species
UACGUAGGGUGCAAGCGUUAUCCGGAAUUAUUGGGCGUAAAGAGCUCGUAGGCGGUUUGUCGCGUCUGCUGUGAAAACCGGAGGCCCAACCUCCGGCCUGCAGUGGGUACGGGCAAACUAGAGUGCGGUAGGGGAGAUUGGAAUUCCUGGUGUAGCGGUGGAAUGCGCAGAUAUCAGGAGGAACGACCGGUGGCGAAGGCGGGUCUCUGGGCAGUAACUGACGCUGAGGAGCGAAAGCGUGGGGAGCGAACAGG